rnacentral:rRNA from 1 species
CCUAUGGGUGGCAGCAGUGGGGAAUAUUGCACAAUGGGGGAAACCCUGAUGCAGCGACGCCGCGUGAGUGAAGAAGUAUUUCGGUAUGUAAAGCUCUAUCAGCUGGGAGGAGAAUGACGGUACCUGAGUAAGAAGCCCCGGCUAACUACGUGCCAGCAGCCGCGGUAAUACGUAGGGGGCAAGCGUUAUCCGGAUUUACUGGGUGUAAAGGGAGCGUAGACGGCGAAGAAAGUCUGAAGUGAAAGCCCGCGGCUCAACCGCGGAACUGCUUUUGAAACUUUUUUGCUGGAGUACCGGAGAGGGAAGGGGAAUUCCUAGUGGAGCGGUGAAAUGCGUAGAUAUUAGGAGGAAAAACAGUGGCGAAGGCGGGUUACUGGACGGUAACUGACGUUGAGGCUCGAAAGCGUGGGGAGCAAACAGGAUUAGAUACCCUUGUAGUC